rnacentral:tRNA from 1 species
AGCUCCGGGGUGUAAACACGUAAGAUUGCAAAUCUUAAGAAGCAGGCUAGUCACCUGCCGGGGCUU